rnacentral:rRNA from 1 species
CUCGGAGAUAGCUGGUUCUCCCCGAAAUAGCUUUAGGGCUAGCCUCAUGUUAGAUAUCCGGAGGUAAAGCACUGAAUGGCCUAGCGUCCGAGAGGAUAGCGAAGCCUAUCAAACUAAGAAUGCCGGAAUAUUGAUGCAUGGGAGUCAGACAGUGUGAGAUAAAUCUCAUUGUCAAAAGGGAAACAGCCCAGAUCUACAGCUAAGGUCCCAAAUUGUAUCUAAGUGGAAAACGAUGUGGAAAUACGCAGACAACCAGGAUGUUGGCUCAGAAGCAGCCACUCAUUUAAAGAGUGCGUAAUAGCUCACUGGUCGAGCGUCUCUGCGCGGAAAAUUUAACGGGGCUAAGAUACAAACCGAAGCUUAGGCUGCAUACGUAAGUAUGCGGGGUAGGGGAGCGUUGUGUAAGCGGAGAAACAGUAGCGUAAGCGGCUGUGGAGUUUACAGAAGUGAGAAUGCCGGAAUGAGUAGCGCGAAUGUGGUGAGAAUCCACAUGGCCGGAAACCUCAGGUUUUUGGAGGAAGGUUCGUCCGCUCCAAGUUAGGCGGGAGCUAAGGUGAGGCCGAAAGGCGUAGCCGAUGCACAGACGGUAGAGAUUCCGUCCCCACCGAAAGAUUUAAGCGCAGGGACACUUUUAGAAGGUCGGAGCCAGGUGUUGGUUCUGGUAGAGAUCGAGGGAAGAUUAGUACCGAAGUCCGGCUGGAUAAGAGGCGAGAAAAGCUGCGUGUAUAUCUAAGGUGCCCGUACCGCAAACCGACACAGGUAGGUAGGAAGAAGAUUCUAAGGCCAACGGGAGAAGGGUUGUUAAGGAACUCGGCAAGUUGACCCCGUAACUUCGGAAUAAGGGGUGCUCACGAGAGUGAGCCGCAGAGAAUAGGCCCAGGCAACUGUUUACCAAAAACACAGGUUUGUGCUAAAUCGAAAGAUGACGUAUACGAGCUGACGCCUGCCCGGUGCUGGAAGGUUAAAAGGAGAUGUGCAAGCAUUGAAUUGAAGCCCCAGUGAACGGCGGCCGUAACUAUAACGGUCCUAAGGUAGCGAAAUUCCUUGUCAGGUAAGUUCUGACCCGCAUGAAAGGCGUAAUGAUUUGGGCACUGUCUCAACAGCCCGCCCGGCGAAAUUGUAGUACCGGUGAAGAUGCCGGUUACCCGCGACAAGACGGAAAGACCCCAUGGAGCUUUACUGUAGCCUGAUAUUGGGUUUCGGUGUUGCAUGCACAGGAUAGAUGGGACGCUGGGAAAGAAGCGCUUUGGCGUUUCUGGAGCGGACGUUGGGAUACCAUCCUUGCGACAUUGGAAUUCUAACCUGCGCCUCUGAAUCGAGGCGGGGGACAUUGUCAGGUGGGCAGUUUGACUGGGGCGGUCGCCUCCUAAAAAGUAGCGGAGGCGUUCAAAGGUUCGUUCGAUCUGGACGGAAACCAGAUGAUUGAGUGCAAACGCAUAAACGAGCCUGACUGCGAGACUGACGGGUCGAGCAGAGACGAAAGUCGGAGUUAGUGAUCCGGUGGUAUGUGAGUGGAAAUGCCAUCGCUCAACGGAUAAAAGUUACCCUGGGGAUAACAGGCUGAUCUCCCCCAAGAGUCCACAUCGACGGGGAGGUUUGGCACCUCGAUGUCGGCUCAUCGCAUCCUGGGGCUGAAUUCGGUCCCAAGGGUUUGGCUGUUCGCCAAUUAAAGCGGUACGCGAGCUGGGUUCAGAACGUCGUGAGACAGUUCGGUCCCUAUCUGUCGUGGGCGCAGGAUAUUUGAAAGGCGCUGUCCCUAGUACGAGAGGACCGGGAUGGACGAACCUCUGGUGCACCAGUUGUCACGCCAGUGGCACAGCUGGGCAGCUAUGUUCGGAUCGGAUAAACGCUGAAAGCAUCUAAGCGUGAAGCCGGCCUUAAGAUAAGAUAUCCCACUGAGUCAAUCAGGUAAGACCCCUUGAAGACUACAAGGUUGAUAGGCACACAGUGUAAGCGGAGUGAUCCGUUCAGCUAGCGUGUACUAAUAGGUCGAGGGCUUGACCCC